GCCGUGGGGAGCUCGCCCAAUCGGAGGGGGACUACCAGGUUAGGAAACGACUGCUAAUACCGCAUACCGCCCUGAGGGGGAAAGGUGGGGAUCUUCGGACCUACCGCGAUUGGAUGCACCCAGGUGGGAUUAGCUAGUUGGUGAGGUAACGGCUCACCAAGGCGACGAUCUCUAGCUGGUCUGAGAGGAUGACCAGCCACACUGGAACUGAGACACGGUCCAGACUCCUACGGGAGGCAGCAGGUGGGGAAUAUUGCACAAUGGGGGAAACCCUGAUGCAGCCAUGCCGCGUGUGUGAAGAAGGCCUUCGGGUUGUAAAGCACUUUCAGCGAGGAGGAAAGGUGGCUAGCUAAUACCUAGUUGCUGUGACGUUACUCGCAGAAGAAGCACCGGCUAACUCCGUG
rnacentral:rRNA from 1 species